UACGUAGGGGGCAAGCGUUGUCCGGAAUCAUUGGGCGUAAAGAGCGUGUAGGCGGUCCGGUAAGUCGGCUGUGAAAGUCCAGGGCUCAACCCUGGGAUGCCGGUCGAUACUGCCGGACUAGAGUCCGGUAGGGGAGCAUGGAAUUCCUGGUGUAGCGGUGAAAUGCGCAGAUAUCAGGAGGAACACCAGUGGCGAAGGCGGUGCUCUGGGCCGGAACUGACGCUGAGGAGCGAAAGCGUGGGGAGCAAACAGG
rnacentral:rRNA from 1 species